UGGAGUUCUGCUCUACAUUGAGUGCAAAGGCAUCAUCCAUACAGGGUUGUUUUCCUCAGAUCAGGAAGGGAAACUUCAGGUUCAAUGGAGUUGCUCAAGAUGACUUGAACUCAUUUCUUCACACCCUCAUAUGUUCGCAAAGGUCACCUCGCCAACCAUUAAUUGGCAGUAACCAUGGAAACACACACAACACAGGAAAUGUCUCAGAGCAAUCAAGAGCAAUUUACCAAGAAACCAUAGCAAGCGCUAGUCCUGGGAACCCGGUACGUGCCAACAUCAGUGGUACCCCAGACACACUACCAAGGGGGUUAGGUGCUAAUAUUUCAAUCUUGCAAGAGCCUCAGGACAAUGUCAUUGUUAGGCAACCUUUACAAGAGCCACAUACAUUGACGACUCAGACUGGUUUUUGGCCAGACUAUUUGGAAAAUGAUAUGCCUUCCAAUCUCUAAUCAGGCAUGUUUGCUGUGUACCACACCCUGCUCUAUCCAUUAUCCAAGAAGGACAUUGCCACCACCAGAUCACCAUCAACAGCAACCCAUGGUUAAUGUACACUAUGAUCUAUCUAAGAAGGACAUUACCACCAUCAGACCACCCUCAACUACCACCAAUGAAUAAUGUACACUCUCCAAG